GAUCUCGGAGCUUCCUGGCCAAAGGCACAGCACGCAUGGCUGAUCUCUAUUAAUUCUAGCUGGAAACCCCUGCAAGGCUACAGGAUGUUGGUCCUGUGUGGAAGGUGCCUGGUGGCAGAAUGUACAGCCCCAUAGGAAAAUCACAAAGUCCUGAUGUUGGAACCUACAUAAAAUAGAAAGUUAAAAGGAAGAGGAGCCUGUUCCUGACUUCCUGAGGCCACCAGGAGAGUAUAGCUUUGAGACUGUACCCUGGACUGUCUUCAACCCGCCCGCUACCCCCAGAUUCCAUGAAUGCUUCAAGAAGUACUUCACCUUGAGAUGAUGGGAGCUUAUGACUUCAGAUUUCCAUCAGCCCAGAAGUGCUGCCAUCCCUUCUGCUGUGAGCACCCUUGAGAUUUGCUGAAAACUGAAAUGGAAGUAGCUCUGUGUGAAGAACAUCUCUAAUGGGAUUUGUUGUCAUACAGAAAAAUCUCACAAUAUUUGAGAUGGUCUCUUGCCUUUUUGGAUUAUGAAUUUGACGCCUGUGACAUCAGUGAUGUAAAGAAAACAGUAUGACAUUGUGCUUAGAUUUUGCUGAUGUAUAACUUAUAAUUAGCUGAGAUAAAGGAGAUGUACAAGUUGUUUGUGAUGCCUUCUGGAAAUCAUGACGGUUUGGUACAGCUGCAGAACACAACUGCCAAAGAUAUCAGCAGCCCACUCUCAAGCAAGCUUCAAUUUAUUAAAAACAAACCUUUACAUAUAGUAUGAGACUAUUCAACAGCCAUCUCUUUGUGGCCAUCAAGAAUGUGUCUACUUCCUGUAUGUUUCUAUAAUGUUUUCUAUCUGUGUUCCCUCCCUCAUCAUUGUAGUGAAUACAGUUGUUAUUGCAUGGCUCUGGGGAGGCUCAUAGGUCUUUCUCGAUAAAAGAUCCCAAACUCAGGGGUACUACAUAUCCUAUUGACCCUUGCUAAAUUACUACCUUGUGCUUUACCUUGUGUAAAUUAGUAUUUAAAUAUCAUAUUCUGAAUAUAAAAAUAAUUUACCCCCACCCCAAAUGUGGAUGAUCAAUAAUGAACAUCGUCAGUAUUUAGUCAUUGGAUCAAUAGAGGCCAAAAUAUGACAGCUAGCUCUAUAAGGAAGUGCCUCAAACUCAGAUGCUGUGGGGGUUGUGAAUCUUGGGGUGGGGGUGGAGGUGGGUGUCAGACUGAAAAACAAGGUGUGAGCUUGUGGCUCUGCUGGGGAAGACAUACCUUCUGCAAAACAGUUUUUCAGCAACUAACAAAAAGGAGUGAAGAGGCUGGGACACAGCCCCAUGGUGGAACACUUGCCUAAAGUGUAGAGCUAAGCAUUGAGAAGGAAGAAUGGAAAACUCCUAAGGGUGGGUGGUCCACCUUCUCAAUUCAGAUGACACAGAAAGAAGGAUGUUAACUCCCUGGGAGCAGCCUUUCUGUUUGUGUCAUUCACUGAUGUAUCCCUGGCAUUUAGAACUACAUCAGCCAAAAACAUACACUAAAUGCCUCUUGCUUCUUGCAUGAAUUAUUGAAAUAGUCAAAUAAAACACUUCCAUGGGUUUAAUUCAUCUUCUCGAAGAGCCAUUUACAGCCAGUAUUUUAGAAAGCAUUACUAAUUCCUUUUCCCCCAACUUGAACUUCUUUUUCUGGCCUUUCCUAACUCCAUUAACAUCACGAAACUAUCCUGUCCUAAAGAGUAUGACUUCUUCCUAUUGGUCCUGAAAAGUAAUCAACUGCUAUGCUCUCCAUGAGUCAGCUGGACAAGUGAAAGGCUUAAAAGUCACUCAUGAGGCAAAAGAGUUUCAAGGAAGCUCUCCUCCUGGAGUCUAGCGUUCUCUACCCAUACAUUAAGUUUUCAUUCCCGCAUUUCAUUCUUGCGUUAGUCUAGUGUAUGGAUCC